rnacentral:rRNA from 1 species
UGCAUAUCAAAAAAGCGGAGGAAAAGAAACUAACAAGGAUUCCCCUAGUAACGGCGAGUGAAGCGGGAAGAGCUCAAAUUUGAAAUCUGGUAGCCUUCGGUUGCCCGAGUUGUAAUCUAGAGAAGUGUUUUCCGUGCCGGCCCAUGUACAAGUCCCUUGGAACAGGGCGUCAUAGAGGGUGAGAAUCCCGUCCUUGACAUGGACCCCCGGUGCUUUGUGAUACACUUUCAACGAGUCGAGUUGUUUGGGAAUGCAGCUCAAAAUGGGUGGUGAAUUCCAUCUAAAGCUAAAUAUUGGCGAGAGACCGAUAGCGAACAAGUACCGUGAGGGAAAGAUGAAAAGCACUUUGGAAAGAGAGUUAAACAGUACGUGAAAUUGUUGAAAGGGAAACGAUUGAAGUCAGUCAUGCUCUUGGGACUUACCUCCCUUGAGUGGGGUCAACAUCAGUUUUGAUCGAUGGAUAAAGGCACGGGGAAGGUAGCACUCUCGGGUGAACUUAUAGCCUCGCGUCAUAUACAUUGAUUGGGACUGAGGAACGCAGCAUGCCUUAUGGCCGGGAUUCGUCCACGUACAUGCUUAGGAUGUGACCAU